rnacentral:pre_miRNA from 1 species
UGGUUUGAGAGGUUGAAGCUGCCAGCAUGAUCUGGUAAUCAACCAUACUCUUUUUCCCUUAUUUCAUGCCUGAUUUUAGCCACUACCCAUUAGAUGAAAUAACUGUUAAAAUUGGUAUCUACUCAUUUUUUAGUUCAAAUUCAAGGUUUCUGGUGUCAAUCAGUGGUGAAAAAAGAGAUGAAUUUUUUUGGAACAGGUUUUAAGUUUACCUGGCUUGUUCUUUUGUUUAAUCUUUUGUUCUUUCAAAAAAGACUUGUUCUAAACUGGAGUUAGAAAACCUACCAAAAGGGAAAAUUUUUGCUGUAUAAGAUGUGGUUCCAUCAGGUCAUCUUGCAGCUUCAAUCACUCAAUAA